AAAGGGAUUGCCUAGUACGGCGAGUGAAGCGGCAACAGCUCAAAUUUGAAAGCUAGCCUUCGGGUUCGCAUUGUAAUUUGUAGAGGAUGAUUUGGGGAAGCCGCCUGUCUAAGUUCCUUGGAACAGGACGUCAUAGAGGGUGAGAAUCCCGUAUGUGACAGGAAAUGGCACCCUAUGUAAAUCUCCUUCGACGAGUCGAGUUGUUUGGGAAUGCAGCUCUAAAUGGGAGGUAAAUUUCUUCUAAAGCUAAAUAUUGGCGAGAGACCGAUAGCGCACAAGUAGAGUGAUCGAAAGAUGAAAAGCACUUUGGAAAGAGAGUUAAAAAGCACGUGAAAUUGUUGAAAGGGAAGCGCUUGCAAUCAGACUUGUUUAAACUGUUCGGCCGGUCUUCUGACCGGUUUACUCAGUUUGGACAGGCCAGCAUCAGUUUCGGCGGCCGGAUAAAGGCUCUGGGAAUGUGGCCUCCACUUCGGUGGAGGUGUUAUAGCCCAGGGUGUAAUACGGCCAGCCGGGACUGAGGUCCGCGCUUCGGCUAGGAUGCUGGCGUAAUGGUUGUAAGCGACCCGUCUUGAAACACGGACCAAA
rnacentral:rRNA from 1 species